rnacentral:lncRNA from 1 species
UUCAGACCAAGUUGACAGGCAGCCCUUCAGUUUACUGACUGCCGCUUCUUACCUGCCAACGCCAAGCACAAAGCUGCCUGCAGAGCCAGCCUCUAUCUGUGGUCCUUGUGCCAAUUAUCACUGCCCCACUCAUGCCGCAGGAUAUAAAGCAGAGUGACAGGGUCACAGGACUGCCAGAGGAAUACAGCUUCACAAACCUGAACUUUGCCACCAUGAGGUUUAGCUAGACUACGUUUCCCAGCUCCCACGCAAUUAGAUGUGACAUAGGAGCAUACAUCUGCAUUCUGGCCAAUGAAAUGCUACUAAAGUUGAGAGGUGAAGCCAGCUGGACUUCUGGGCCAGGUGGGGACUUGGAGAACUUUUCUGUCUUACAAGAGGAUUGUAAAAUGCACCAAUCAGCACUCCGUAGCUAGGAUUGUAAAACGCACCAAUCAGUGCUCUGUGGCUAGCAAGAGGUUUGUAAAAUGCACCAAUCAGUGCUCUGUAAAAAUGCACCAAUCAGCGCUCUGUGACUAGCUAGAGGUUUGUAAAAUGGACCAAUCAGCACUCUGUAAAAUGGACCAAUCAGCACUCUAUAAAAUGGACCGAUCAACGGGAUGUGGGCGCAGACAAAUAAGGCAAUAAAAGCUGGCCACCCCAGCCAGCAGCG